UGAGCCCUGGGGAGGCCUUGAGCGCCCCCUGGAGGUGACACUCUGCCACUACACAUAGGAAACCACCUGGAAACCCAACCAGUGUCUGAUGUGACUUUUCUUAGUGACAGGAAAUUAGGAUGAGCACGAGCAAAGUCGGUGGUCACAAGGGAGCAGCCAGGCCAGUCCUGCUUAAACUCCUGCUGUUACAUGUUUGCGAUUGAACUCGUAGCAAGCUGCCGAUGGAACACAUCCUGCCUCCAGCACAGACGCCGAUCUUCAAACCAUUUCAGUUCGUGGUUGGGGAUAGGAGCUCCCGUCGCGAUCGUCAUCUUUCUGCUGCAGACAGAUUUUGUUUCCCUCUGUAAAGUUGGCGUGCAGGGGGCAAGGCUGUGAACAUAGCAUUUAAGUGACAGAGAUGGUUGUGGUCAUGUCCCAGCAGUCACCCUAUUUAGCACACACCUAUUAAGCCAAAGCACCUCAGUGUGUAGGCUUCUCUCACCCAAACCUGUUCCCAAAGGUCCUUUCUUACUGGCUACUUGGGGGGCCCCAGUAAUCUUCCCGACCCCUCUGGUCAGGGCCAGAGUGGGGAGCAAGUGUCUAAAGCAAGGCCUUCAACAAAGUCCCUUCCCUGAGAGACUCAGUUUGUGACGCUUGUGAUUGUGAAGCUCAAAUGGGUUAUGUGACUCCACAUAACUCUGCAAACUGUGGUGCGCCCUAUUAUUGCCGCUUAACUUGUCAGUGUCGGUUCUGCACAGCUGCAGGCUCUGUAGGGGCUGGAGAAGAACACUUGAUUUGGAAUUUCAGUAAUAGCCAGCGAGCUAAGGACCACAUAAAAUAAUGCAGAUCAUAU
rnacentral:lncRNA from 1 species